rnacentral:rRNA from 1 species
CAAAACGACUCUCGGCAACGGAUAUCUCGGCUCUCGCAUCGAUGAAGAACGUAGCGAAAUGCGAUACUUGGUGUGAAUUGCAGAAUCCCGUGAACCAUCGAGUCUUUGAACGCAAGUUGCGCCCCAAGCCAUUAGGCCGAGGGCACGCUCUGCCUGGGUGUCACGCAU